rnacentral:rRNA from 1 species
GGGUUGUGAGGUUAAGCGACUAAGCGUACACGGUGGAUGCCCUGGCAGUCAGAGGCGAUGAAGGACGUGCUAAUCUGCGAUAAGCGUCGGUAAGGUGAUAUGAACCGUUAUAACCGGCGAUUUCCGAAUGGGGAAACCCAGUGUGUUUCGACACACUAUCAUUAACUGAAUCCAUAGGUUAAUGAGGCGAACCGGGGGAACUGAAACAUCUAAGUACCCCGAGGAAAAGAAAUCAACCGAGAUUCCCCCAGUAGCGGCGAGCGAACGGGGAGGAGCCCAGAGCCUGAAUCAGUGUGUGUGUUAGUGGAAGCGUCUGGAAAGGCGCGCGAUACAGGGUGACAGCCCCGUACACAAAAAUGCACAUACUGUGAGCUCGAUGAGUAGGGCGGGACACGUGGUAUCCUGUCUGAAUAUGGGGGGACCAUCCUCCAAGGCUAAAUACUCCUGACUGACCGAUAGUGAACCAGUACCGUGAGGGAAAGGCGAAAAGAACCCCGGCGAGGGGAGUGAAAAAGAACCUGAAACCGUGUACGUACAAGCAGUGGGAGCCUCUUAAUGGGGUGACUGCGUACCUUUUGUAUAAUGGGUCAGCGACUUAUAUUCUGUAGCAAGGUUAACCGAAUAGGGGAGCCGAAGGGAAACCGAGUCUUAACUGGGCGUUAAGUUGCAGGGUAUAGACCCGAAACCCGGUGAUCUAGCCAUGGGCAGGUUGAAGGUUGGGUAACACUAACUGGAGGACCGAACCGACUAAUGUUGAAAAAUUAGCGGAUGACUUGUGGCUGGGGGUGAAAGGCCAAUCAAACCGGGAGAUAGCUGGUUCUCCCCGAAAGCUAUUUAGGUAGCGCCUCGUGAAUUCAUCUCCGGGGGUAGAGCACUGUUUCGGCAAGGGGGUCAUCCCGACUUACCAACCCGAUGCAAACUGCGAAUACCGGAGAAUGUUAUCACGGGAGACACACGGCGGGUGCUAACGUCCGUCGUGAAGAGGGAAACAACCCAGACCGCCAGCUAAGGUCCCAAAGUCAUGGUUAAGUGGGAAACGAUGUGGGAAGGCCCAGACAGCCAGGAUGUUGGCUUAGAAGCAGCCAUCAUUUAAAGAAAGCGUAAUAGCUCACUGGUCGAGUCGGCCUGCGCGGAAGAUGUAACGGGGCUAAACCAUGCACCGAAGCUGCGGCAGCGAC